UUAGAAUAAAAUUAUAAACUUAGUUGAUAAGGCAGUACAGCAGAGUUUGAGAGGACUGAUAGUAAUUUUGAAAGAAGUUCUACUGUGGGUAAAAUGCUAUCAAAUAGUAUCACAUGCUACAGAGAAAUA